rnacentral:tRNA from 1 species
GGGCCGGUAGCUCAGGGGUUAGAGCAGGCGACUCAUAAUCGCUUGGUCGGGGGUUCAAUCCCCUCCCGGCCCACCA